rnacentral:lncRNA from 1 species
UUGGCCUCUUCUUUGGAAGAUGACGUAUUUUCAUUAGUCCUGACCAUAUCAAUCUCUAGUGUGUCAUCUUCAUCAUAUCGAUCUCAUUUGGGAAGGUUAUUGAGGUUUGAAGAUGAAGGGAUUCCCCUUAGGAGGCUCAAACGAUCUUCUUCGGGAUCUGAAAGUGAUGAUCACAAGCCAAUAUGAACUGACUAUGAUCCUCUUCUUCAUCUCCACACUCAAUCUUGUGAAUAACAACAUUAUCUUUCGAGUUAUCUCG